CAAGAGUACAAGGGAAAGCAAAAGAUGGUGGCUUCCAUUGCCACAGGUUCCAAAACUCUGGCUCUCUGGUUCAGGAAGGAAGGUAUUGCUUGAGAAGGGCAAGAUCGUUUAUCAAGUCAUGAAAGCCGGAAAAUAUAUAAACGAAAACGUUCUCCUCGAAAUGUCAGUGCCCACCAUUGUUAAGGAUACAAUACCCAAGUAUGGAAAGACAAGCCUAGGUGAUGAACUUUACAGGAAGUUGGCCAUGGAAUCCACCUGGAUAGAAGACAUUCUCUGUUCCCUCAAGUUGGGAACGGAAGAUGAUGCACAUGAGACUGUUAAUAGGUUAGAAGCUGCUGUUUUUGCAUGGAGAGAGAGGAUUACAGACCAAACAAGGAUUGAUAAUCCCCUGUCCGAAAAUCUUGGUCGUUCAUUGAGGACCCAUUGUCUGAGAUCGGAUUACGCUCGAACCGUGCAGAGGCCCUGAGAGAUCGGAUUAAAGCCAAAUACCUAAACCUGCCUCAGUCAUUUCUCGACGCCACCAAGAUUCAGUAUGGCAAGGGAUAUCGGUCAAGCGAUUCUAGAGGCAUAUUCACGGAAUCUUGCAAACUUGGGGUUGAGCAUAGUAUCUAGGAUGGGAGGAAUCUUGCAAGAAGACACUCUGAACAAAGCCAGAGAAGGUAUAAGCUCGGUGAGUAGUGACACUUCUAGUAGAAGAAGAGGGUAUGGUGGAUGAGUAGAGAGGGUUGAAACUUGAAAGAGGAAAGGUUCCUCCUUUUAUCCAAAGGGGGAGACUUUUCAGA